GGGCAAGCAGCACAGCUGAAUGCUUCCCUCAGCUUAACCAAAGGAAAUUAAAUACAGAAAAAGGGCCAAACAGCCACCCCUGCCUCCCCACUGCAGCCCGAUACCCAGCUCCCAGCCAAGAGUUGGAUAACCCCAUGCACUGGGAUGUUUGUAGGAAAAGAAAUACCUGAAGUUAGUGCUUAUGGUGGGAAGCUCAGAGAUAAAGCUAACUGACUUGGUGUUCUGCCAUCGGUACACUCCCUACUGCACUGAGAGUGAAAUAUUUGAUAUGUCGCUCCCCGACAGCAAAAGGAACCACUCACAGACAACAAAGGAAAGCAGAGGAAGAAAUUUCUGGGAUUCAUCUUUUCCCUGGACUUUGCUAUAUGAGCCUUAGAUACAGACUUCACUCCAGGAGAAGACAGCUGCACAUGCAUCUCUCCAGAGCCUGGUAAUAAGACUCAGAGGUAUAGACAGAGCAGAAAGCUUUACUAUAAUGUCUCCACAGUACUCUUCUGGGAAUAAGAGUUAGCAUGUGAAUUGAACUUGCACCCAGUUAUCUCAUGGCUGCAGCUUACCCUCAAUCACAAGACAAAAAUACUACAUAAUAUACUGUGGGGAACAAUUCUUGAUUGUUUCCAGGGCAUGGAUUAAGUGUAGCCAAAUGACUCCCUUUCUCUAACUCACAGUCUUUUAUGGCCAGCAGGCCAGUCAAAUCCUUCAUGUUUAAAUAGAAAACCUGAAAAUGGAUCACAAUAUACUCUACACUUUUACCACACUGUGUUCAAAGUACAUUUUUUUUAUUCUUAUUUAAAUGCAAGUAAUUUAAUGUAUGGAUAUAUAGUGUCAUGUCCUAGAGUGAUUUUGUACUGACAGUUCUAGCAUAUCAUAAUCCGUGAAAUCUUGGAAUAAAAAUACCCCUGCAUUUCUUA